rnacentral:rRNA from 1 species
UACGUAGGGUGCAAGCGUUAAUCGGAAUACUGGGCGUAAAGCGUGCGCAGGCGGUGAUGUAAGACAGGUGUGAAAUCCCCGGGCUUAACCUGGGAACUGCAUUUGUGACUGCAUCGCUGGAGUGCGGCAGAGGGGGAUGGAAUUCCGCGUGUAGCAGUGAAAUGCGUAGAGUAUGCGGAGGAACACCGAUGGCGAAGGCAACCUCC